rnacentral:lncRNA from 10 species
GCCGUAGACUCUUUUUCUGUUUUCACUGAGUUGUCCAACUGUGUUCUCCUAUUGCAUGCUGAACUUCUUUAAAAACAAUUAUUUCUAAUUGUUUGGAAGGCAAUUUAUAGAUAUCCAUUUCUUUGGGGUUGGUUAUUGGAAAAUUAUUGUGUUCCUUUGGUGGUGUCCUGUUUCUUUGAUUUCGUGUGUGCGUAUUUCUUGUAGCCUUGGGCUGUUUCUUUGCAUAUUUCAUGGAGGAGUAACUUCUAGAGCAUAUGAACUGGCUUCAUGGAGGAAGACUGUCACCUACAGGUUGGUGCAAGUGAUGGCAGCAGUGGCCUGUCUGGAGUAGCCACUGUGAAGAUGCCGGCUUCAGCAGGGGAAGCACAACUGGGGCUGCACACUCUGCUGAGCCCACGGGUGCCGGGAACAGGUGGGAGCCCCACCCCCUAACAAGUCAGUGGAGCAGGAGCCACAUGCUCCCAGGCACAGCUGCAGCUUCUCAGCUGUAGCCACAGACCCAGGCAUCCCUGAGGUCUCAGGGGCCCCGGAAGCCCUUUGUUCCCGUAGGCUUGAAAGUGCCUGCUCCCACUGCCUGGCCUCUCCCUGCUCCUGGCCCCCACUCUGGGGCAGAGCAAAGUUGUGGCAGAGCCCAGGCACUGUUGUGACCCAGCUGGGUACCCAAGCACUCAGGGCAGUGCUGACAUGCCAGCCCCCUGCUGUCUCAGGCCAUCCAGACUUUGGGAACUGAAGAGCACAAGAGGGAGACCAAGGGGUUGCUCAGGGUGGCUCAGUGUGGGCCUGUAGGCAAACCUCAGCAUGAACAGCCUGGGCGGCAUGGACAACAUGUUGAUGGUGACAGGAGGCAGACAGGCUCCUGGGCAGAAAGGGGCAGGUUCCCAGUGAAACGCAACCUUCAAGCCAUGGAUGGCAUGAAGCCUGGGGGCUGGGCUGUCAGCUCCAGGUGGAGUCUGCGGCCUGGAGUGAGAACUUAUGGUGCUUUUUCCAGGCCCGCCCAUGGCCACCCAUGGGCCAAUCAGAACACACUUCUUCCUUUCUGAGCCCAUAAAAACUAUGUUACCUAGCUAGACUCAUACAGAUGUCAGGACUACCAGCUGCAGGAAGGAGCUACCCACUUCAGGUCUCCUCUACUUGUCAGUAUGACCUGCCUGUGGAAAAGAGCUACUCACUCUGGGUCUCCUUUCUGCUGAGAGUUGAACACUUGUUGGGACAACCUGUCUGUGGAAAGGAGCUACCUACUCUGGGUUUCCUCUCCCCUGAGAGCUGGACACUCAUCUGGACAACCUGCCUGCAGCUAGGAGCUACCUUCUCUGGGUCUCUUCUCUGCUGAGGGCUGCACUCGUCAGGACUACCUGCCUGCAGAAAGGAGCUAUCCACUCCAGGUGUCCUUUCUUCUGAGAGCUGGACACUUGUUGGGAUGACCUGCCUGCAGGUAGGAGCUGCCCACUCUGGUCUCCUCUCUGCUGAGGGAUGCACUCGUCAGGACUAACUGCCUAUGGAAAGGAGCUACCCACUCCAGGUCUCCUCUCCCCAGAGAGCUGGACACUUGUCAGGAUGACCUGCCUGUGAAAUGGAGCUACCCAAUCUGGGGCUCCUCUCUACUGAGGGCUGAACUAGUUGGGAUGACCUGCCUGUGGAAAGGAGCUACCAACUCCAGGUCUCCCAAGAGCUGUUCUGUCACUCUUUUGCUCAAGAAAGUUCCUUUCUGCCUUGCUCACCCUCCAGUUUUCUGCAUACCUCAUUCUUCCUGGACACAGGACAAAAAUUCAGGACCUGUUGAAUGGUGGGACUGAAAGUGCUAUAACACAAACAGAGCUAAAACACCUGCCUCCACCCCACUCGUCACACUGCAGGCAAUGAGAAGGAGAGAAGAGCUGCAGCCCUUCAGGGAGCUCAGAUGCACAGGCUCCCCCAGCCAGGGCUGUGACACCCUCUUUGGGGCUCUGUGGUUUCUAGUGUCUUGGAGCUUCCAAGUGCCACCAUGUUCCCCUUGUCCAGAUGUGAGUGCCCAGAGCAGAAGCCACUUAUAGUGCAUCUGAUCCAGCCACAGGCUUGAACAGAGCCAGCACCUGUGGUGGCACCUGGAACUGCCCACCCCACCACAGCAGCCAAUGCUUGGCUGUGUGCAGCAGCCAGACCCCAUGCUUGCUUACUUGUGCACCCCUCUCCUCUCCAUGCCUGGAUCAUUCUUUGAAGGUGUGGGAGCCAGGCCAGUAGCAUGAGCUGAGUGCAGCCUGCCAGGCCGAGUGGGUGGAACAAGCCCAGCAGGCUUGAGCAAAACUCUGGCAAAGGCACCACUGGCCACAGAGGUUUCCAACUGGAAAAGUGACACCUGGAGGAUGCCAUGACACAAGGAUUCUGACUGAUGGGUAUGCAGCCCUUGGUACAACACUGAAUAUAAAUGCUCCUCUUCACUUUCUGCCAUAAGUGGAAUCAGCCUGGAGCCUUCACUAGAAGCAGAUGCCAAUGCCAUGAUUCUUGUGCAGCCUGCAGAACCGUGAGACAAAUGAACCUCUUUUCUUCAUGAAUUACCCAGCCUCAGGUAUGCCUUUAUAUUAAUAGUAACACAGACUAAGAUGGGAUAAUUUUUUCAAGCCUUUCACCACAAAGUGACAUUAGCAGUGUGUUUUCAUAGAUGCCCUUUAUCAGGCUGAGGAAGUUUCCUUCUAUUCCAGGUUUCUUGUUUGUUUUUUUAAUCAUUAAAGUGUGUUGAAUUUUCUCAAGUGCUUUUUCAUAUCUAUGACAUGACUGUUUGGCUUUUGUCCAUUAUUCUAUUAAUAUGAUAUAUGAUAAUGUAUGCUGAGCCUGUAUUCAUGGAAUAAAUUCCACUUUGUCAUGGUCCAUAAAUAUUUUUAUAUGGAGCUGGAAUCAUUCUGAUAGUCUAUAUUCAUAACAAUAGUUUAUAUUCAUAAAGUUACUGGAAAGAAUUUGGCUGUUAAUCUUAUCAAGAAUACCUCAGAGAUGAUGAGCUGCUUCUGUCUUUCUGCUUUCAAUAUACUCUCUGUGCCCUUGGUUUUCCAGUUGGUUAUGUUGUGUAUAGGUGUGCAUCUCUUUGCAUUUAUACUACAGUAUAACCUUGAACAACAUGAGGGGUUGGGGUGCCGACCCCACUAGUCAAACAUCCACAUAUACAUACCUGUGAGAAGAGGGUAGAAAAAAAAU